rnacentral:rRNA from 1 species
GUAUAGAACUUACCUUUUACAGAGGGAUAGCCUUUAGAAAUGAAGAUUAAUACCUCAUAGUAUUGAGUCUCGGCAUCGGGAUUCACUUAAAGAUUUAUCGGUAAAAGAUGGCUAUGCGUCCUAUUAGUUAGUUGGUAAGGUAACGGCUUACCAAGACAGCGAUAGGUAGGGGUCCUGAGAGGGAGAUCCCCCACACUGGUACUGAGACACGGACCAGACUCCUACGGGAGGCAGCAGUGAGGAAUAUUGGGCAAUGGAGGCAACUCUGACCCAGCCAUGCCGCGUGCAGGAAGACUGCCCUAUGGGUUGUAAACUGCUUUUAUACAGGAAGAAACACUGCUACGUGUAGCAG